GAUGAACGCUGGCGGCGUGCCUAAUACAUGCAAGUCGAGCGAACAGACGAGGAGCUUGCUCCUCUGACGUUAGCGGCGGACGGGUGAGUAACACGUGGAUAACCUACCUAUAAGACUGGGAUAACUUCGGGAAACCGGAGCUAAUACCGGAUAAUAUAUUGAACCGCAUGGUUCAAUAGUGAAAGACGGUUUUGCUGUCACUUAUAGAUGGAUCCGCGCCGCAUUAGCUAGUUGGUAAGGUAACGGCUUACUAAGGCGACGAUGCGUAGCCGACCUGAGAGGGUGAUCGGCCACACUGGAACUGAGACACGGUCCAGACUCCUACGGGAGGCAGCAGUAGGGAAUCUUCCGCAAUGGGCGAAAGCUUGACGGAGCAACGCCGCGUGAGUGAUGAGGGUCUUCGGAUCGUAAAACUCUGUUAUUAGGGAAGAACAAAUGUGUAAGUAACUAUGCACGUCUGGACGGUACCUAAUCAGAAAGCCACGGCUAACUACGU
rnacentral:rRNA from 1 species